rnacentral:rRNA from 1 species
ACCAGCACCUCAAGUGGUCAGGAUGAUUAUUGGGCCUAAAGCAUCCGUAGCCGGCUCUGUCAGUUUUCGGUUAAAUCUGUGCGCUCAACGUACAGGCUGCCGGGAAUACUGCAGAGCUAGGGAGUGGGAGAGGUAGACGGUACUCGGUAGGAAGGGGUAAAAUCCUGUGAUCUAUUGAUGACCACCUGUGGCGAAGGCGGUCUACCAGAACACGUCCGACGGUGAGGGAUGAAAGCUGGGGAAGCAAACCGG